UUAGAAUCUGCAAGGGUUCUAACACCUGUGCUAAUUUCCGGGCGCAGUACUCAGACCUGGACCUAGAGUCAGACCCUUUCAUCGAUAACUCGGCGGACUAGGACAUCGACAUGCCGGUGAACGUCCCCUUCGACGACAGGUCGACGACUCCUCCCUUGAGCUAGAGGGUGCACCCCCUCGCCUUUUGAGUUUUAUUUUCCUUCCCCCUUUUUCAUUUGGUUGGGCUUGGGGCGAUGUCGCCCGACUGCUAUAUGUACCUGCUUUAUGAUCGAGAAGCACUUUCAUUUUAGACUUCU
rnacentral:lncRNA from 1 species